rnacentral:lncRNA from 1 species
CCUAAGGCCAAUCAGAGGUUUCAGGCCUGCUUUUGUAAGGGAUUCCCCACCCCCACCCCCACACACAACUAGUCUCAGGGAAGUUUCUUAUUCCCAGGGAAGUUUCUUAUUCCCAAAGAUCUCCAGAAGAGUUUUCCUGGCUCUUUGUUUGUCCCUAUUAUGGUGUCCUACCUUCUCAUUGACAAUUUCUCCCCCUGGUUAGAGUAAGUGACCCUCUUUAUUAACAUUGACAGUCGUUUCAUUCCUCUUCUUUCCUCUUGGCCCACUUUGCUAAUGGAUAUCCCUCUUUGGUGGGAUAAUGAUGUUGGUUACUCUUAGCCUCUCCUCUACAACACUUGUCCCACUCACCCAUCACCACCACCACCACCACCACCACCAUCAUCACCACCACCAUACACACACACACACACACACUCUCACACUCACACAGCCCUGCCUUCUUCCCCAAGAAGCUAUUUUCUCUCCCUUUCUUUUGAGUGGGAUUGGGCAUGCUGUCCGUUCUUACUACCUCUCAUCAACUUCUCUACCUCCUUUCCAGAUUUAAUGGGAGCUCCCACCUGUUCAGACACUAUAUAAGACACAAGAAGUAGAAGCCUAUAAGCCUGCUUCUCUCCAUCCUCAUUGCCCAGAACCAGGCAGGUCAUGAGCUUCCAGUGCUCACCCCACCCUUCUUGCUGCCAGGUGUGGAAACGGAGACCCAGAGAGGAAAAAUCAGUUGAAUCUUGUCCUGCAAUUGCUUUGUGUUCCUGGCUUUGGAGAGUUCCUGGGAACCCAAGGAAAGGGCAGUGGAGAAGAACAGCAAAGAAGAAGGGGAGAGGGUGUCACGCUUCCGGUAGUCCCUUUCUCACCCCUUGUCCACCCCUGCUCCAACAUUGGAGGCAUAUUGGAGGGCCCAAAAGGCCCUUAAAGUAUUCAGUCUAG